UAUUUGGCUUCUUCACCACAUGGGAUCAGCACGCUCCCGGGAACUGGGCCUUCAAGGACCAGGUGGCUGCUCUAUCCUGGGUCCAGAAGAACAUCGAGUUCUUCGGUGGGGACCCCAGCUCUGUGACCAUCUUUGAUUCUGUCUCCCAUGGCCGAAGGCUUAUUCCACAAAGCCGUCAUGGAGAGUGGGGUGGCCAUCAUCCUUUACCUGAAGGCCCAUGAUUAUGAGAAGAGUGAGGACAAAACAAAGGCUUUCACUCAAGUGGUUGAUGGUGCUUUCUUUCCUAAUGAGCCUCUAGAUCUAUUGUCUCAGAAAGCAUUUAAAGCAAUUCCUUCCAUCAUCGGAGUCAAUAACCCC
ensembl:lncRNA novel transcript